GUGUUGGUUGGCUAGUUGUGGCGAGUAAUGCGAAGGGGGUAAGGGUUGUCAGGAAUGACAUGGGUGAAAGGGGGGUUAGGUUGUCUUUUAAGGCCCUUGUGGAAGCCCUGUGCUCAACCUGGGAACUGCAGUGGAUACUGGGCGACUAGAGUGUGGUAGAGGGUAGCGGAAUUCCUGGUGUAGCAGUGAAAUGCGUAGAGAUCAGGAGGAACAUCCAUGGCGAAGGCAGCUACCUGGACCAACACUGACACUGAGGCACGAAAGCGUGGGGAGCAAACAGGAUUAGAUACCCGUGUAGUC
rnacentral:rRNA from 1 species